UACGUAGGGCGCGAGCGUUGUCCGGAAUUAUUGGGCGUAAAGGGCUUGUAGGCGGUUGGCCGCGUCUGCCGUGAAAUCCUCUGGCUUAACUGGGGGCGUGCGGUGGGUACGGGCUGGCUUGAGUGCGGUAGGGGAGACUGGAAUUCCUGGUGUAGCGGUGGAAUGCGCAGAUAUCAGGAGGAACACCGGUGGCGAAGGCGGGUCUCUGGGCCGUUACUGACGCUGAGGAGCGAAAGCGUGGGGAGCGAACAGG
rnacentral:rRNA from 1 species